rnacentral:lncRNA from 1 species
CUCAAAGGAGUAUUAAAAGAUGAGAUUUGAAUAAGACUGAUCAAAUGUUGGAAUGGAAGAUGCAGAUAGGUCAUAAGCUUUUGCUUUUUUGAUUGCCCAUAUUGUCUCGAAACUGUUCAGCAGAACAAAGAGUUUUGUGGAUGAAAGACUGGUGUGAAGAAACAUGAAUGUCAACUUGAGUUCUGAAAGACAGUCUGCUAAUGAAAUAUUCUAAAAGUCAUUUUCAAGGUGGUGGAAAGUUCUCACUGAUGUGCACCAAUGCUUCUGAUAAAAAGCAUCACAUAUUUAUGCAAGUAUUGGCUUUUAGGUCUGAGAAAAUAAAGUAAUGCUUGUAUGACUACAAAUGUUGCAGAAAGAUAUUUAGCCUGUUCUACUUUCAGAGGAUUAACAAAAAAUAAUCAGGAUGCUUGUUUAGGUUCUACUUUAGGCAGUCAAAACAAUUCUGGAGCAGCUAAUUUUUAGUAUUAUAAAAUAGGUUAAUAUCUAGAGCAAACUGUGUAGACUGAAAAUAAAGACAGAUUCUAAAUGUAUUUUCAGCUCAUGAAAAAAGGCACUAUUUGUUUGUGCAAUAAGUAUAAUAAGUAUAAUUUAAGACAAACCAGUAAAUAAUACAUUUGGCUGCUCCAAGUAGGAUAGAGUUUUGAAUCUGACAUUGUGUGACAUUUAAUAACUUCUUCAUAAUAGGAGUUCAUAAGAGAGAAAGAUCUAAAAGCAGUAAACAUAUUUCCAACAGUUCUAGGUGAGCAGAUCUAAUUAAAUUUUGGAAUGCAAAAGUCUCUGAAGUAAUGCUGCCAAAUUUCCAUUUUCUGGCAUUUUCUUGUGCACUUGAACUAAUUUCUAAAAAACUUGCUUCAAAAGCACUGAAGUUCAUAAAGAGGAGGCCUACUUUACCUUCAGUACCCACAGAUUUCACCUUGGAAGCCUUGCUGUUAAACUGCAGAAAUCUGUAACCUCAGCAUGAGAGCCCACUUACCCCACUGUUUACACAGCUAAGGCACCUCUGUGCUCAGCAAGGCCUGCUUGCUCCUGUUUCAGAAACAGGGCGCUUGAGAUUUUCAGAGGCACUCAAGUCUAUUAGCAGAUUUAGAGUAUGCAGACUGUAUAGCAAUAUGCUAUACAAUUAAAAUGUAAUCAUGACUUUUCUGGGGGGCAAAUGCAGUCCAAGAGAUGGUUCAUUCUCAAUUCAGUAAUCGAUGCUCUCCAAGAAGCGGAGUGUUUCUGUUCGAUGGGCUGAAGCCUUACAUUUAUCACUUUUCAAGAAACCCUACUGGCCAAGAUAGAGACUGCUUAAGAACAGGAGAGGGUCAUUCCUACCACAUCUUUUAUAAGCCAUUUCACAACGUAGGAAAGAAAUCAAGUUUAAAUGUGUUAGGAAGGAGGCAUGUGAAAUUAUGAUUCCUAACAAGUGAAGGUAAACACAGUGACAAGAUGCAUAAACCCCACUGUUAUCCUCAGCACAUCUGAAUGGCUAACUGAAUAGGCACCCAGUCAUCACUUUUCUCAUCUUGAAUCCCACCUCAAUGCAUCUAAGUCUUGCUGUGCACUCUACAAGGACCUGGUCAUCUAAGAUAGAGCUCAAAGUUCUACACUGCCAGCUUCAUUUUAAUUACGCCAGACUUAAACCUCUGCUUUAAGACUUAAAUGUGGAGCCAUUUCUAUUUCGCUAAUGUCAUAAAUAUAUUUUGAGAAUGUCAUCAAUAUAUAGUGUAUCUCCUUGUUUGAGUUACAGUAUCAGCUUUUAUUCCUAUGGUCACUAUUUUCAUUGGGUUAUUGUUAGGGUAUAGGUUUUUUUGUUCCAAAACAAUUCAGCUAGGUUUCAAAAAGAUAGUAUGUAUUGUAUGUAUUGUAUGCUAAUAGAAUUAAAAGCCUCUAACUUGCUUUUAACAUGUAUCCCUCUGGAAACAAGAAAUGACUGGUUGUUAUUGGCUGCUCUCCCUUAUGAUUUAAAAGGAAGAACUGUGGGAAGGCUUUGCUGAAUGGCCUUUGAUUUUCUGUCAAUGCAGUUUUGCCAGAAUUUUAACCUAGGUCCCAUAAGUGAAAGUAAAACAUUAAUCUGCUCAGUCAGUCGGUCCCUGGAUAAAGCUUAGAAACAGAAAAAUGUUUACAACAAAGAUAUCAUAACCCUUUGAAGACUAUAAAGAAUGAUAACAAAGCAAGUAAUUUUCUGUUUAAAACUAGUUAAGAUGCAGUGCUGUUGUUCUGAAUCUAGAUGAACAAAUGAAAGCCAAAGAUAAGUUACAGCUUACAUUUUAAUGUUACUUAGCCUUUUCUUUUUCUUAAAAUCAACCUUAGACGAAAUGUUUAGCUCUAUUUAAAUGCGUGACACUAUCCAUCACAAUUUUAUAGUUGGACACAUAAUAAUGUAUAAUCUCAGCUAGCUGUCCACUUGUAAAAAUGGGAAUAGACUUCGAGAAAUAAGCAAUUUCCCAACAGAAAAUUGGAAAUUCUGCCAACCAAUUCUGGGUGACCUGCCAUCAAUCAGUGUUAAAUUCUCCCCAGCUACUGCUGAAGGGUAUUGCCAUUACUGACGGGCUUCACCUGGUGACUAAUGCACUGUGGUUGUCAAUGAGGCUGAACACAGAGACCCGGUGCAACAACUGUGCCUUCUUGAUUUCCAUGGAGCAACUCAAGAGUUUUCAAAACUCUAGAAUUCUGACCACCUAAGUUCCAUAAGAAAAUGAUGAGCUCUGAGCCAGCAUAAUUGGGUCCCAGGAGAUCACAACAGCCGUUUUGACCCCUAUUCAGGAAAGUAUUUAUUGAUUUAUAAAACACAUAGUAAUAAAAGAACCCUGCAAAAGGCACAAGUGACCUAAGGAAACAGUUUAAAAUGUUGUCUAAUCUUGGUUGAUUGGCAGAGACCCAGUACAUUCUGAGUGCGGUAAAGCUAGUUGUACUGAGACAUUUGGCUUUCUUGGAUUCCUCCAAACCAGUCUGCUGGUCCCCCAGCAUGCUUCCAGACCAUAGGGUGGAAAUCAUUCUAUAGAUAGGUAACACAAGAAAAAUAACAACCUUUGGAUCAUAGGCAGCCUCCAAUUAAUAUACUCAAAUAGGCUUUCAGUGCAAGGUUCACUGCCUAAACUUUAGCUCAUUUAUUUUAGUUCUUAAAGCCUUACAGGAAUGCCUAAGCUCUCUAAAGAGCUAAAGGUGUAAACAGUGACUUUCACUCAUGGCCUUAGCAUUUUCAGUGAUAGCAUGUAAUUGUUUAUGGCACUCUUUUAAUGACAAAAUAACAACAAAUACUCUGCCAAAGACAUGGGAGAAAGAUAAAACAUUCACGGUGCACGUGAGUCUUGUCAUUCUCUGAUUUUAGUUUUCCUCAUUCAGGUAGUUUAUUUCAGCUAAUAUCAGUCCUUAAUGCCCACGCAAUGCAAAAUCUCCCAUUACAUGUGCAUUCAGACAUCACAGUUGUAUUUGGGAAAUGAAUCAUUUAUAUUAGUUUAGACAACAACAUAUUCAGUGGGAGAGAAUGACUGAUCCAUACAAAUACUAUCUGGAACAAGAGUGCAUGAUGAAGCAUCUCUUAUUGAUUAGAAGAUUUGUUCUUGUUUAUGGUAUUUUACAACAUCCUUAAUCAAGUCUCUUCUAAAAGAUUCCAGCAAGAUUUAAGGAAAUUCUUGAUUUUGAUGAAUAGGCUGUCAAGCAAGGUUAGACAUACAAUGUUUUUAACCAUUAGCUGGAGCUUACAUUCUCAUUUCAGAGACAGAUGCAAGUCCAAAUGUGUAAUUAUGAACAAACAAACAAACAAAAAACCCACAUGUACUCCCUAGAAAAAUGAUAUAUUUGCUUUGAAAGUAUUGGCAUUCUACUCUUAAAAAAUGCUGUUACCAUCACAUGAAGUGAUUUCUUUCUGAGAUACUGUAUACACUUUGCAGCCAGUUCAUCACAGAUCUCUGUCUUUGUGAGCUAUAACACAGAUAUAUCUGUCUCCGCAACAAAUACAAGCACUGGAAAUCAUCUUCAAUGCACUUCCAACUUGAUGUCUUGCUUUGGCAGCCAUUUCAAAUUUUUCUCUUUAACAUUGAAAUGAACGGAAGCAUUGUAAAAGCCUAAGAGGAAAGUCUGAUACACAAGACCUCUCCUUCAUGAAAACAACGAAAUAAGUGAAAUUGUAAUGGGAUUCAAUGGGGAUGAGAAGUAACUGGAAAUUAGUUGCUAAUGAUUAUCAGCAUUUGUAUAAAUGAACAGUAAGCUGUACAGAGAUUCCAGAUGUCUGGCCUUGAAUCUCAAACCUCAAAUCAAAUACUUUAAGCUUGCAAUUGUUUCUCUUAGCCUAUAGCUUUCAUGAAGGGGAUAAAUGCACAUGAUGCUGGCAUAUACAUUUCAAAACUUUCCAAUAUGCAUCUUUAGGAUUAAAUACAAAUUUUUUUACAAAUGCUUCACUGCAACAAAGAUUACCUCCAAGUAAAUAUCCACUUUAAUAUGGUCACUUUUUCUUUUUACUUUUACAGAUAGUAUUUGGACUUUCUGGAAGACUACAAGACUCUAGUGCAGACAAACAAACAUUCAGGCAAUAAAAUACCAUCACUUCUUUUGUUCAUAAGAAGCCUUUUAUGUGGAAAAUAAAAAAUUAGCAUUAUCUUCUAAUACCUAUAGGAGGAUUUCAGCUGGCCCAAGUGAACAGAAUAAGCACUGCAUCACUGGUAUGUUAAAUUUUUAAAGUAUCAACCUUCUUUUGAUUUAGAACUGAUAUCCAGUUCAUCUUUUAUCUAACUUUUUCUGCAGGUGUAUGCUAAGCACGGAGCACAUAGACUUGAAAAAGCACUGAAAUGAAGCAGUGCUCAAAAUAAUGUGAAUGCUUCUUAUAAAGUUGGAGACUUGAUUUAUUAGAAAUGGUUCAAACAUUUUUCCUAAUUAUUGUGAGCAAAGUGCCUAACAAAACUAGAAAAAUGUCUCCAGUUUGGACUCCACUGAGACUAAUACUCAUCCUUCACACUUCAAAGGGCAAAGUUGGGUAGGAGAGAAGACAGAGCAUUGGUUUUAGUCUUAGUCAGAACACUAAAAAGGGCCAUUUAAUGUUAGUAUGUGAGCCAUAGCUAUGUUUUUCAAAUAAAAUUGAAAAUAAAUCUUGAAGUUGAGUUGAAAAAUCUUGCUAUUACCUCAUAACCAUAUUUCUCUUCACAUCUUAAGAGUCAGAGAGAUUCAGAAAUAUAUGCAACACUUUCCCUAGUACUUCAAGGAAGUUGUGCUUCCAUUUUUGAUAGAUAAAACAAGGCAUAGAGUCAAGAUUCAUCUCUGGAAAUGAAUCUAAAUCAGGGUUAGGAAUUUGAUGGUGGGCAUCAUAUUGCCCACCUUUAGAUUUCGAAAAGAGAGAUGCCUGAAGGUGACACACUGAUCUGUAGAUUUAGUUCAUAGAUAACAAUCUUGGCCUAUGUCUGACAAAUUUCAGAUCUCUCUUUUUAGCUUUUUUUUUUUUUUUUCCUGCUGUGUUAGACAACUUACCCAUUCAAUGUAAUAUCUGUGCCAAUGGCCAUUCUGGGCUGCCUUAUUCUGUAUUUAUAUGUCAGGUUAUACACUGUAUUCUAGAAGCAAAUGCAACAUCAAAGUCUCUUUGGAGAUAUGUCUCAGAAUGAUUUGCCAACAGGCAUGAACCUAGCUAUUGUUAGCACCUAAAUUAGGAUUCUAGGAGAUCUGGCUUCCAGUUCAAACCACAAAAACGUGAGAGAUCUCUAGUGAGAGAUAUCUAAUGCUCAGAAAGCUAUAGAACCCUACACCUAAUUUAUAUAUACAGUCACUGUUAAGCCAUAUAUAAAAAUCAGCUAAACAUUACCUUAGCAACUCCAUGCUGAACAUGGUCCUGGUAUCAAAGCACACACAAGAAAAGAUAGUACCUUCUUUCCCACUGUUCAUGAUUUGAUUUCCACAUAAAACCUACCGGGUAUGACAGAAACCAAACUUCAUGAAGUUAACCCUUUAUACAUUUUUUCUUGGUUGUUUAUCUCAACUAUUUAACAAUGUGACCAAUCCUGACAACUUUAUAUUAGUGUAUUAAAAGCUGCUCACUUCCCAAUUUCAUUUGGCCUAGGUUGAAGUCAAGACUUCAAAAGUACAUUUCUUUCCAAAUGCACAAAUAAUCUUGGGUCAAAUGAAAAGCAACGUUGAUAAACCUCUUUUGCUACUGCAGCAGACCAAUGAAAAACAAUAUCUGUGGUAUAGCUGGAAUUCUCUCAAAUACCUGUAAGAUAAGACCACUGUCAUUACAACAGGCUGAAGGUUUAAGAAGUGGUCAAAGAAGGGAGUCCUGUAGAGAUGGGAUGGUGUUGAUCUGUCCAAAACUCCCCAUAUUGCUGCAGAAGUUUUGACUACAAACUUGUUUAUUGCAAACUUGUUGACAAACAGACUUGCGUCUAGCAGGCAUAAAAGUAUGCUCUAGUGAAGCUUGGUAGGGGCUCUGAGACUUUGAAACUUUGGGGUCAGCGCUCUCACAGACCAAGUAUCCCCAUUGACUGGACCAAUGCUGGAAACCAAACCAGUGAUCUCAUUCUUGGUCUGUCUCUCAAUCUCUCAUUCUUUCUUUUUCCCUCAUAAAGUUUUUAAGAGUCACAUAGUUUAGCUGCACAGCUUAGGUAGAUAUAACUGUAAGAGUGCCAAUACUUUUAAGAUAAUUGUAGUACAGAAAUUUCUCAUUAAAAUUGAUGAUUAUAUUUGGACUUUGAGCAUCAGUUUCACCUUAAUCUAACCAGGGGAGAUUUACAAAUUUGGUCACCUCUCCCUCCCUUCACGAGCAGAAUGUGACAGCUUUUGAAAUUAGAGAGCACUUACUCUAAAGCAUGUCUUCUGACUUAGCCUUCUGUGACAUGAACUGUAUGGUAAACAUUUUAAUUUGGGACUUUGAUAGAAGGAAUGACACGAAAGUGUAAAACUGUUUUUGUCAUCCUGCCAGUGGUGUAUGAAGAAAAUACUUUGUCUGAAAGCAAACAAGGAAGGAUUUGGAAGUGCAAGUAACAAGGCUGGAGAUGUGUUACAGGUCAAGCUAGUAGGUCAUUGACAGAACUUGACAUUUCUCUUCUAUUCCUUAUCUCGAUGAAAAAACCCAAAGUUUAAUAGAUCAUUACACAAAGAAAGCACUAUUGCCAAUACUAGUAUUGAUACUAAAAAUCUUGUUUUGACAUCUAGAGUGGUCUUGCUAUCAACACGAUUAAUCACCAACAGCUAGUCAACUUGGCAACAUUAGCAGUAAUUUAACAAAGUUUACCAACUUAUCUUUUAACUUGCCUGCAUGGCCAGUGCAACUCAUUAACAAAAAUAUUAAAAAUGUUUUGAUGAUAUGUUUUCAUGUCGUAUUUUUCUUUUUCUUUUUCCUUGACUAGUUAAGAGCAAAUAUAACCGUCAAUAGAUAUGCAUUUGUGAGAAAGCUGCAGGAAGUCAGGUAGAAAAUGACUAACAAGGAAGACUUAUGACACCAGUAACAUCAAAAUGUAUAAUAAAUUUCAGAACUAUUUGAUCAAGCUUUGCAUUCAUACAUGUAUGUGUACAUACUUCUACCAGCCACACUUAUGGCUGUAACUUAUCAUUAUGUUUAAGUGUUAAAAUACUGUGGAAAAUUCCUUUGGGCAGUAAAAUUUUGAACUUUUUGCUGUACUGAUGUUGCUGCAGAAGUCAUUUUAAGUUUUGGGAACUAUGUACACCAAACGUAGGUGUACACACAGUGUAGGUCUGAAGACAAUCUUGAAAGUGAUUAGGGUACUCCUGAUUCUGAAAAAACUAAGAUAACUUCAUUGAAGAACAUCUGGCAAUCUAAUACAUUUUUGUUACUGAACAAGCAGUAGAUAGGUUUCAAUUUUUACAGAUGUGUAAUUAUCCAAAAUUCUUUGGUGAAAGCCUAUAGCUUGCUUGUGAAUUAGUACAUUGGACUUUUUUAAAGUGAUGAGCCUUUUAUUAUUCAUUCUGUGUUGUAACUGAAGAUGGCAACAUUUUAUAAUCACAGAACCAUAGAAUGGCUUGGUUUGGAAGGGACAUUAAAGACCUUCUAGUUCCAACCCCCUGCCUUGGGCAGGGUUGUCAGCCACUAGAUCUGGCUGCACAAGGACCCAUGAAGCUUGGCCAUGAAUGCCUCCAGGGAUGGGGCAAACACAGCUUCUCUGGGCAGCCUAUAUCAAUGCCUUACCACCCUCUGAGUGAAGAAUUUCUUCUUAACAUCUAAACUUAAAAAUAAAUUUCCAAUUCUGAUUUGCUAGUCUUUACCACUCCCCAAACAAUGAAAAUGUAUUUCUGCUGACAUAGCAUGGAUUUGUAUCUAUUUAGCUAAGCAAUAUCGCUUUGGGUUCAAGUAGUAGGUCCUUGCUUUGGCAUUUUAAAACUCUGUUCUGUCCUACAUUAGAAUAACUCAAGUUCUGUGUCAAUAAAUUCAAAUGUCAUCAAAACUAGAUAUACUUAAACAUUUCAGUGAACAAAUGUCUUCUCUCCACACUCCUACCCUCUUCACCUUUCCUACAAUUAUGAUUUUAAGCAGAAAUUUGUUAGCAUGUUAAUUCUUAGAAAGUUAAUGAAAGGCUUACAUGCACAGAGGGAUUUUACUGUUUUUAUUCAUAGAGCACCCUCUGCCUCAGUUCAGUUAUGAUUUAUCUUGUUCAGUAUUAAGACAUAUUAGCUGCGUAAUACUACAAACACCACUCCUGUUUUAGGAAACAACUGAUAACUUCAUACAGUAGAAUUCUCAGUCCUCCCUAACUAAAUUUAUCUGUGAGCACAUGCAAGUACAAGCCCAUAGCGCACCUACAGAUUCACGCACGUUAAAUAUCUGGAUAAUUCAAAACGUAAUCUACAUUUCCAGUAUUUGUUCAGAAUAUUAUUUUAUUCGCACAACAAAGGCAUCAAUAGCCAGUUCAGCUCUAAGCCAGAUAAUAAAUGUACAAAAUAUCUACAAUAUUUUCAUACUUUCACAUAAAGAUUUUCUUUACUUCAUGGUACAUUUGCUGUAGCACAUGGAUUAAGAUGGGAACUAAAUAAUUUCAUUGACCAUAUCACAUUUUGCAAACCCUGAGCUGAUGGUGUUUAGAACUCUCAUUUAAAAAAAAUAAAUUAAACAUCCUGCUUAAGCACAGAUUUGUAUCAUUCUAAAUGUUGUGUUUGGAAACUAGCAGAAAAAAUAUUUGAGAUUUAAGUUUCUGUUGAAGGAAAAGGUCUUCCAAGUACAUAGCAAGUUUCUGGCUAGUUUCUGGGUUGGGCUUAUCAUAAACUUCCCCCUGUGGCAAAGUCAUCCAGUUCUGGACAUUUUUUUCUUUAUUUUCCCCAGAUUUUUUUUCUUUUCUUUUUUAAAAACACAGAUUUGUCCAAAGCAAUAAUUAGCACACAGUUCUUUAGUACUAAACGCAUGAAAAUUCAAGCAUAUUUUUAUCAAAUAUACACAUCUGGCAAUGCUGUAUGUUAUUUAUGGUCUUUUUUGAUAAAAGCAUAAUUGAUUCAAAUGGGUGAUUCAAAAAUGUAAUUUACAGUCUAGCAUCUUGAUUCUAAAGUUUUAUUUUAAUAACAGCCACCAAGACAGUAAUCAAAUUAUUGGUGAGGCAAAGCUCACAAUUCCACAGAAUUUUUAUGUCUUCAUGCAUUAGAGUGAAGUUCUUGCUUAUCCCUGUCCUUUAUCUGUGUAAAGGGGGAUAUUUACUCCAACUGUGCAUUUUCCAUUCAUUGCAUGAUUCACUGAAUCACAAAAGAAAUACAAAGUUGAUCAACAAGCAAGCAUAAUUAUAAACUAUUAAGUUACUUUCCUCCAUUUUUAUUGCAGCCUCCUUUUAAGCCUGCUUCUGAAUCUGAAGAACAAAUUUCUGCUCUGCAUGGUGUUUUCUUCCCUUCUUUUAAGUCCCUUAAUAUGCCAGACCUCUCUUUUUCAGUCAUAUAAUUACAAUGAUUAGACUUUUUUUCUUUCCAUUCUGACUCUCGGGAACACAGAACUGUAUGUAACCUUUCAGUAUUGCUUUUAGGAAAACAAAGGCAGUUAAUACAUUUGUAAGGAAAAUUACAAAUGAAAGAACUCUGUGUACUUUAGGCAUCAGUUCAAGUUUUCUUUCUAAUAGUGUUCAGAAUGAUACUUAGGUGACACAUUUGGAAUCACAUAUUGCAGAAAAUAUAGUGGACAUCUGAAAAGAUCAGUUUUGUUAUUAAGGUAUGUUGCCAUGGAUUGUUUACAAAUAUCCAGAUGUUCUUGAGUUUACCAUGAGCUUGAUUUGAAAGCCCAAGGCCACAUGUGUACUUUGUUCCUGUUUCUCUCUGUUCUCUAUAAUACGUACUCUAAAAACAGGCUGUAAUUUAGCAAAAAACAACAACAACAACAAAAACCCCUAACCAACGACAACAACAAAACACCAUGAAAUUAAGAACUAUACAGGUAAAGAAAAUGUAUAUUUGAUCUUGCCAGAUAUAAAAGUCGUCCAUGUUUAUUGUUUUCUUUAUACAUUCUCAGAAAGAGAUUACAUAAACGCUGGACAAGAACAAAAAUGAUGCUGCAUACAGGUUUAAGUCUAGUUCAUGCUAUACCUAAGCACAUUUAUGCACAGUGGUCUAGCCAAAAAUAAACAAAAACAGAACCAAGACAGUUGGAACAAAGUUGAAUAAUACAGCAAGUUCAUGACCUACUUUAAGAAAAAAUUGCCUACUACUUUCACAGAUGUUCACUGCUGUGAACUGGGCACGCUAUUCCAGCAUAUGAUUUCUAUUUCCUUCUAAUCUAAAUUAUAAUUUUAAAAAUUAAAAAAAUGAAAGAAAUCCAUUAAUUUCUGAACAAGUUCGUCUCCAAUUUGAAGUAAUGAGUUGUAAAACUGAUGCAAAAAUAAAAAGCAUUUCCAUUUCAAAAUGGAAAAUCAUACUCUUUCACUCUACAAACAAUGAAAUAGAAUACCCCCGCCACCUCGUUGGAAAGUGAUACUGGCAGCUGUGUCUCUUGUAGUGAAUGAAAGUAAGAAAUGAUCUUCAUAUUUACAUUUUACAUUGACUCCAGUAAAAUAUUUUAAAAUCAGAAAAUAGUAUAGAGUGGACAAGGAUUUUCCACUGAUCCUUUCCCACAGUAAGCUUGUCCAGUAGUAGACGUCAUUAAGAUGCAUUUCAUUUCACUGCAGUUGGCAAUAAAGUAACAUUUACACAGAAAUUAGUUCUAAAAUAUGAUACUUAAUAAGUAACAGCUUAGUGGUUUCUAAGUUCUUCUGGAUUGUGAAAUAUUAUUGGUCCAGUCAGUGGACGUUUGUCCCAUUAAAAUACAUUUUAUGUGUAUAUUGAAAAUAAAGUUUCCUUACUCUUUCCUUCAUCAUUGUAUUCUUGAGAAAUUUUGUAUCCCAGUAGUUUUGCCUCAAAUUACUGCUUGAGCACAAAUCCCCAGGUUCUCUGUUUUCAGUCCCAGUUUAUUCUUGUUAUCUCCUUUACUAUUUCAGACAAUUUAAUCCUCUUUGCCAACAGCAGCAAGGAAUGUAAGGCUUCUAGAUGGCUCUAAAAUAAUAUUACUUUCAUCUUCUAUGCUUGUCUCCAUAUUCAAGACACUUUUAUUAAAUAACUCCCCAGCACAAGCUCUACAAUACAUCACAGAACAGAUGUUUUGAGUGUCAGUACAACAGUUAUUGGGGUAUUCUAUUUAUUUUAAUGGGACCCUGGAUCCCUGUAAAUGCAAGGAAUAUUCACAAAUUUACAUAAGAUUUUAUAAUGCAUUUCAAUGAGAAACCAGCAGAGAUUCAGCUCUUCCACACUCAUGUAAUAAAGAAAUGUUUAAGCCCAGAAUCUAGAGACACAACAGAAUGAUUCAGCCAUAUGAGAAGAGAUAAGAGACUUAACUUCUCAGGAGAGCCACACAAUUUGAUGUGGUUUUAAAACAAACUUUUACUAUUAAGAAUUCUUGUCAGAAAUCAUUUACCUCAUUCCCUUCAGAAAGGAAAGAUAAAAAUAGCUGACCAUUCCUAUUUUCCUGGAAUGGUCCCUAUGCUCUCAUUUUUGUAUGUUCUUUCCCUCCUUUAGCCUGAAAAUUGCAACCCAUACGUACUGAGUUAACAAGAUAAAGGGACUGAAUUUUAGCAGAAGAAAUAAGUGCAAUGGUUAAAAUACUCAAAGGCAUGAUGGUAGAAGAAAAUAUGACUCAGCAUGCAUUGUACACAGAGAUCCUAAGGUCUUUCUGAGACAAACUCCUAUAAAGCUGAGAGGGAAGUAAAUAUUUAAGAAUACAGUACUUUGCUCCAAAGAGAGGCUAAUGUGAAAAAUUCCUACCAUGUUUCAAACACACAGUACUGGUCCUAAAACACCAUUUCCUCUAAUACUAACUACUGUUGCCAUCGGUGCCUUCUGGUCUUGUACAUACUGUGGUAUGUACAAACAGUACUUCCUUCAUCUUUGCCUUCACUCAGUAGGAAAAAUCUAAACUUCAGACAUAUCAUGUCUACUUCAAAAGAAGUUAACUUACCAUUAAAGAUGCAGUCCUGCCUCGUUCAUCUUCUUGUUCCUUCUUCUCAAUCCUACCAAAUAAGCACUCAUGCAAACCUGGGCCAGAUUAAGGAGUUGAUUUUUCUGAAAAUAAAAAAAUAUCUUUUAUUUGAAUUAUGAUAUGGCUGCAUUAAUUAAUUUAUUCCAGCAGAAGAAAAGCCCC